AUCUGGGUGUGAUUUGGACAGUCUGACAUCUGAGUGGGACACCAUUCGUCAUAAAGCUCAUACAAAAGGAAAUAUGCUGAAGAACACCACAACAGUGGCCUUGGCCAGCAUGCCAGUCCUCCUCUGAAAGUGUUCCCUAGGAGUCGGGAAAAUGUCUGGACUCUGGACCUCAAGCUGACAUCCCAUCAGCAGUCCUGGGGAAAUGGGGGCCAGUGAUGAAGGGCAGCCACAUGACCUAAGGUGCAACCUAUAAGGUUGUAAUGGUUUGUGAGUGUACAAGAGAGGAGGAUCAGGGUGCAGUCACUAUGGGCAAACACCCUCCCUCUC